GCUCGUAGGCCAGGUGGGCUAGCUUUGAAAGCUGGUUAUGAAAGCGGGUGGUG
rnacentral:tRNA from 1 species